rnacentral:rRNA from 1 species
AUACGGAGGAUCCGAGCGUUAUCCGGAUUUAUUGGGUUUAAAGGGUGCGCAGGCGGCCAUUUAAGUCAGCGGUUAAAUCGUGGGGCUCAACCCCAUUCUGCCGUUGAUACUGGGUGGCUUGAUUGCGGUCGAGGUUGGCGGAAUUCGUUGUGUAGCGGUGAAAUGCAUAGAUAUGACGAAGAACACCGAUUGCGUAGGCGGCUGGCCAGACCGCAAAUGACGCUCAUGCACGAAAGUGCGGGGAUCGAACAGGAUUAGAUACCCUGGUAGUCCGCACAGUAAACGAUGAAUACUUGUUUUCGGCGAUAUAAUGUCGGAGGCAAAGCGAAAGCGAUAAGUAUUCCACCUGGGGAGUACGCCGGCAACGGUGAAACUCAAAGGAAUUGACGGGG